AUUGAACGCUGGCGGCAGGCCUAACACAUGCAAGUCGAGCGGGGUUUUCGGACCUAGCGGCGGACGGGUGAGUAAUGCGUAGGAAGCUACCCGAUAGAGGGGGAUACCAGUUGGAAACGACUGUUAAUACCGCAUAAUGUCUACGGACCAAAGUGUGGGACCUUCGGGCCACAUGCUAUCGGAUGCGCCUACGUGGGAUUAGCUAGUUGGUGAGGUAAUGGCUCACCAAGGCGACGAUCCCUAGCUGGUUUGAGAGGAUGAUCAGCCACACUGGAACUGAGACACGGUCCAGACUCCUACGGGAGGCAGCAGUGGGGAGUAUUGGACAAUGGGCGCAAGCCUGAUCCAGCCAUGCCGCGUGUGUGAAGAAGGCCUUCGGGUUGUAAAGCACUUUCAGCGAGGAGGAAGGGGUGAGUGUUAAUAGUACUCAUCUUUGACGUUACUCGCAGAAGAAGCACCGGCUAACUCUGUGCCAGCCGCCGCUGUAACAC
rnacentral:rRNA from 1 species